AUUGAACGCUGGCGGCAUGCCUUACACAUGCAAGUCGAACGGCAGCGGACCUUCGGGUGCCGGCGAGUGGCGAACGGGUGAGUAAUAUAUCGGAACGUACCUUUCAGUGGGGGAUAACGUAGCGAAAGUUACGCUAAUACCGCAUAUUCUGUGAGCAGGAAAGCAGGGGAUCGCAAGACCUUGCGCUGAUUGAGCGGCCGAUAUCAGAUUAGCUAGUUGGUGAGGUAAAGGACUCACCAAGGCGACGAUCUGUAGCGGGUCGUGAGAGGAUGAUCCGCCACACUGGAACUGAGACACGGUCCAGACUCCUACGGGAGGCAGCAGUGGGGAAGUUUUGGACAAUGGGCGCAAGCCUGAUCCAGCCAUGCCGCGUGAGUGAAGAAGGCC
rnacentral:rRNA from 1 species